GACACCAGGCAGGGAACAGGAAAGAAGUUACAGUGUCUGUCAUCACCACUAAGAAAACAGCUGAAACUCCACAUGGGACAAGAACAGCGUUCAAUAGGUGGUCCUGGGCUGCAUAGGAAAGCAGGCUGAGCAAGACAUAGAGAGGAAGACAACAAGUACCACUCCAUGGCCUACUUCAGUUCCUGCUUUGAAUUACUGCCUUGACUUCUCAAGAUAAUGGACUACAAAUGGAUAUGGGAGGCUUGAGCAAAUACUAUGAAUCUCUCAAGGAGCUAUGGAUUACCUUAAAAGGCUAGACAACAGAGCCACGGCACAGGAAGUCUGCCCUGGAUGCUAUCCUGCUGGGAAUUGGCCCUCUGAAACAGAUCCAUCCACCCGAUGAGUCAUGACAUUAAAAAUGAUGAAGGAAAUGGACUGGUCCCCAGACAAACAGCUCGGGGCAAUACGAUUCCUGCAUCCAAAGGACUAUGGGUUACAGACACCUCUCUCUUCUGGGAUACAACGUGUAAAAGCCGGAUUGAGAUCUCUAUGCCUGUUCUUCAACUGCUGUGGCUACCACUAUUCCAAGAGACAGAAUAAGAAAGUUAAAGACAACAAGAAAUGGGUCUGUAAGGCCCGAAGUGAGUGGUGUGGCAAACGACUGGACUCACUCACAUGAAUAUAAGGCUAAUCCAUUCAGGAACAGACUAAGUCUCGUCCUGACCUACUUGUCGUUUUUCUGUAAAGACCACUCGAGGUUUUAUCAACUUGAUCAACAGGGUGGUGAUUGAAUCGUUAAUCUACUCUAGCAGCAAUGUCUGAAAAGAGACCGAGCACUGUUAUUUUGAGUGCCAGAGAUAUUGCCCAGUGAGGGGCUGGAAGACCCUUAGAAUUUUUAUACAAUUCUUAGAAGGAAGAGGGAAGUGAGGGCAGCAAGCAGAGCAGAACUCCAUCACAGCAUAAAGUCCUCGAGAUCAACCGAGACACACCCACCCAUUGUGGUAAUGCUAACAGUAAGAGAAAUGCCAAGAUUUCAGGCUGUGGACUGUGUUCCAGUGGCAAGCAGCAGAGAUCCAUGUUUAGCUUGUGUUUCCUUGUGAUUCAAGGGCCCAUGGCAUGUCUCUGGAUAAGCAGAUUGCCAUGGAUCGAGGUACUCGGCCCUGAGUGGAGAGAGUGAGGGAAUGAAGAACAGACAAACAGACAAACAGGCAGGCACAAGGAAAGCUGGGAUCAGGUAAUCUGAGCGUGGAAGGAAGGAGACGCACAGCCACGGGAGCUCAGCGUGUAUAUUAUCCAGAGGUGAAAAGGAGAGAGAAGCUUGUUAAAAGACAGGAUGCUGAAAGAGGAGAUGAAACAUUUCAACCUGAAGGGAAGUGCUUUAAGAUGCAGGAUGUAAAACAAUGAAAUGCUGGAAGAAGAGCUCAAACACUCCAUUCUUUAAAAAGGCUUCUUAAACUCAGGAAAUAAACAACUGAAUAACUUCAGAAAGUCCCUGAAACUGGCAAGAUUCUCUGCUGCCAUCCUUCUCCAAGCAUUUAUAAUCGUUGUGUAAUCUGAGAGCUAAGGCUCUAGCUGCAUUCAUCCCAAUAUGAAUAUACAAAUUUCUAUGUGUCAUUUGUUAAAGGGGCUGUCCUUUCUGCAAUGUGUAUUUUUGGCAAUUUUCUUUGAAGUAAAAUGACUUUAGCUUAUUGGGCU
rnacentral:lncRNA from 1 species